GACUGGUGCACUGAUCCUGUGUGCAGAUGUCUGCAUUGCCUGAAAAGAGCUCUUCACUCCGAGUAAUCCAGAGAUGUGUUUGUAAUGAGAUACUUGACAAACUGUUGUAACUUGACAAUUCCUCACAGUCAUAGGAAAAUACCUGUACCAGGUGUUUCUUAAGUAAAAACAAAAGGCUGAAGCAGGGUCAUCUCUCUUGCUACCCAGCCCAUGCAGCUCUUAAAUUCUCUUGCUUGCAGAGGAAACCCCUGUUGCUGAUGUUCCUAAAACAUCUUCCACUUCUGCAUGGAAAAGUAGGAAAGCAAAGUGGUGAAGGAGCACUGCUGAAGCCCCCUUGGGUAAACAGUGUUUAAAGUAGUCCAUGCAUUUUAAUUAGAAAAGAAAUACAUAGAUAAGGAUGAAAGAUUUGUUUUCCUCAGGCAAACCAUGAGAACAUCAGGCCCACAGGUAGCUUAGUUUAACUCCAGAGAGUUUACAUUUAUAUCUCCUUCUCUAAAUAUUAGAAACUCCAUUCUGAUACAAGCGGGACAAAUUAAGGUAAGAUAAAGGUGUCUUCUCUGCUGGAGGCUUAAGGUCCUUCUUACUGUACAUUAUUAAGGU